rnacentral:rRNA from 1 species
GACGAACGCUGGCGGCGUGCCUAAUACAUGCAAGUCGAGCGGAAGUUGGAGAGCUUGCUCUUCAACUUUAGCGGCGGACGGGUGAGUAACACGUGGGCAACCUGCCCUGCAGAUCGGGAUAACUCCGGGAAACCGGUGCUAAUACCGAAUAGUCUUCGCCACCUCCUGGUGGCGUACGGAAAGACGGUUUCGGCUGUCGCUGCAGGAUGGGCCCGCGGCGCAUUAGCUAGUUGGUGGGGUAACGGCCCACCAAGGCGAUGAUGCGUAGCCGACCUGAGAGGGUGAUUGGCCACACUGGGACUGAGACACGGCCCAGACUCCUACGGGAGGCAGCAGUAGGGAAUCUUCCGCAAUGGACGAAAGUCUGACGGAGCAACGCCGCGUGAGUGACGAAGGUUUUCGGAUCGUAAAACUCUGUUGUGAGGGAAGAACAAGUACCAACUAACUACUGGUACCUUGACGGUACCUCACCAGAAAGCCACGGCUAACUACGUGCCAGCAGCCGCGGUAA